rnacentral:rRNA from 1 species
AAUGAACGCUGGCGGCAUGCCUAACACAUGCAAGUCGAACGAAAGCACAGUGAGCGUUUGCCCCUGCGGGUGGCGAGGGGCGGAUGGGUGACGCGUGGAUCGGAUACCAAUUAGACUUGGAUGAUAACGGGGGACAAGUUCUGCUAACACAGCAUAUAUCGUACGGGUGGGAGCAGGGGUUAUUGGCGCUUUUCGCGUUUGUAAUAGCCGAGGCCGGAUUAGCUAGUUGGCGUGGUAAAGGCCUACCAAGGCGACGAUGCGUAGCGGGUCUGAGAGGGUGAUCGGCCACACUGGAACUGAGACACGGUCCAGACUCCUACGGGAGGCAGCAGUAGGGAAUCUUCCGCAAUGGGCGAAAGCCUGAUGCAGCAAAACCGCGUGAGUGAUGAAGGCCUUCGGAUCGUAAAGCCCUGUUGUUAGGAAAGAAAAACAGCAGGUUUAUACAUGGCCGUCUUGACGGUACCUAAAGAAUAAGCACCGGCUAACUACGUG